rnacentral:lncRNA from 1 species
GCCUUUCUACAUUCUGUCAUGUGAAGACAGUGCUCCUCUCCUCUGCACGAAUCAGCAACAUGACACCAUCUUGGAAGCAGAGAGCAGCCCUAACCAGAUAACCAAAUCUGUUGGCACCGUUAUCUUAGAUUUCCCAGUCUCCAGAGCUGUGAGAAAAUUAAUUUCUGUUAUUUAUAAAUUAGUCUCCAGUAUUUGUUAUAGCAGCACAAAACAGAUGGACUAAGACAGACAUCUGAUGAGUUUAACACAGUACCUUGCACAUGAUGUCUUGAAAAAGCUUUCUGGGUUUAGACAUGGAAGAUUGGAAAUUGGAGGACAAGAAGCCUGGAUAUAGCUACCCCUCUCUUUUUCUCUGGAUUGGGGAGAGCCCCUUCUCGCAGUCUUGGCAGAAGCCACUGGAUUACUCAGUGAUUUUUUUUCCCAAAAUGAAAGGAAGAGGAGGAAGCCAGCUGCAGCUUUGACACUUGUAAUUGUACCCCAGGUAAUAGCAAUGGUUAUAUAUGAGCUGUUUAAGUUGAAAGCAACACAAGUCAUGCAAAUUGAAAAUAAAAAUCAGUCACAUCAAUUGAAAAUAAAAGAAAGGAGAGAAAUGUUUGCCAAAUGGAAAAAGGACACAUUAUGUAGAAUAAAUUAUUUCUAAUAGUCUAUGAAAAUAUAGCUAGCAAGCAAUGUGAAAUAAAAAUUUUAAAGUAUUUGGUGUAA